rfam:Echinostoma caproni strain Egypt genome assembly, scaffold: ECPE_scaffold0001395
GUUGGUUACGGGGAUAUGCGUCCGGUUACCGUUUGGGGCAAAUUGAUCGGAUCGUUGUGUGCAAUUGCCGGAGUGUUGACGAUUGCCUUGCCAGUGCCUGUGAUCGUGUCUAAU